GGGAGAGUUGCGGAAUUGGUAUACGACAGUAGAUUAACGGAAGCGCCCUAAAGUUAUCAUUAACAAAACUAUUAGGUUUGAGAGUUCGAAUCUUUCCUCUCCCG
rnacentral:tRNA from 1 species